UCCUACCUGAUGCAGCCAUACGGAAUCUUCCACAAUGGACCAAAGUCUGACAGACCCUCUCCGCGUGAAUGAUAAAGGCUUUCCUCUCAUAAAACUCUGCUGCUAACUACGAACCAGUGCUCGCUGAAUAACCUGGGACCUUGACGGUACCUAACCUCACAGCCACUGCUAACUACGUGCCAGCACCCUCGGUAAUACGUAGAUGGCCAGCGUUAUCCCCACUUAUCGGCCUUAAAUCCCGCACAUCUGGUUUCUUAAAUCUGAUAUGGAAACCCCCAGCUCAACCGUGAAGGUCCAUUAUAAACUGAAAAACUCCAGUGCCGAAGACGAAUCUGUAAUUCCAUGCGUACCCUUAAAAUGCAUAGCGAUAUGGACGAACACCAUUGGCUAACGCGACUUUCUGGUCUGUAACUGACACUGACGCGCCAAAGCGUGGGGAGCUAACUGGAUUAGAUACCCUGGUAUUCCACGUCCCACACGAUGAAUGCUAACUGUUAAA
rnacentral:rRNA from 1 species